rnacentral:tRNA from 1 species
GUCCUCGUAGCUCAGUGGAUAGAGCGAUCGCCUCCUAAGCGGUAGGUCGCGGGUUCAAUUCUCGCCGAGGACG